UCUAUCUUUCAUUCCCUUUCUCUUCCUCUUUCCAAAAUCAAUAGAAAUAAAAUAUAUUUUAAAAUAUCCAAAAGCAAAAUUAAAGUUUUUGAUUGUACCCAAAACUGACCUUACGCAUUUUUAUGAAUUUGUUUGACCUAAUUAACUUACACUGGUAAUCUUCAUAUUAUUAAUAAAUCUGCCUCAGUCAAAUGAUAGAGCACUAUAAUAAUGGAUUUCAAUUUUGCCCCCAAAAAGCAAAACUUAAAAUCUAUAAUCUUCAAUCACCAAAGAUCUACUUUAUUGUACUUUAAAUCAUUUAGCAUUCAUUGUCACUAUGUAUAGGUUUUUUUAAAUUAAGGCUAGUGGUGACUUGUUUACUUAGAAUUCAAAAACUAUAUUAACUAUGACAGUGUAAAUUACUGGUGUGGAAUGCCUAAUAAUACAGUACUUGUUUGUACAUUUCCAACUGAAGAGAAACAAGUAGCAAUGCUUUGGGUUAUAGUGACACCUGGUGGUACUGUUUUCUUAGAAUAUUUUCUGAUUAGAACUGUUUUGUCUCAAACUUUUUUGUAAGUAAUCAUUUUAUCUGCUAGAAUGUGCCUUGGGAGCCUUCUCUCCCUUCCUCGCCCCACAUCUCUUUAUGUGGCAGGAAUACUUGGGCCAAAAGCCCUGCUGGAAAGAGCAGCCAAUGUCCUUUACAUUUCUGCCUUGGGUUUCAGAAAGAAAUCCAUGUCCUUAUACAAGAGAAAACUAAUUUAAGGCAGAAAGAAUAAAGACACUGUUAUAUUCUAAAAUUGGAAAUAUUAAGACUAGUGACAUGUUAUGAAGUGUUUCUGCAGAUGUAUAUUUAUUGACUGUUCCUGGCAUUCUCCAGAAGGUAUAUACUGUAUUAUUUUAGCAUUUUAUAGUUUGAAAAGCUGAGGCACAGAGAGGGCUCUAGAUAGUACCCAAGGUCAUAGAGUUAACCAACUUUAAAAUCUCCAGAAAAGCCAGAAUUCCAGUUGAACCUUAUCUCUAAUUUUGAGAGAGAAAACUAACUAUACUGAUAGGGAGUAAAAAAAAAAAAAAAAAAAAUACUUAUUCAUGUUAUAUUAUUUUCUUCUGGGAACAUUAAUUUAUUCAAAAUAGUAAAUGUAAGCAAAAAAAAAAAGAUCAAAGGAAUCAAGAGCCCAAAGAACUUCGAAGGAAAGCAUGAUUGAAUAGGUUACAUCAUACUGGUCUCCUAACUCCCUUUGAAUCUCCUCACAGCAUUCUACCCAAAGGUAACCCAGACUUCUGGAUAUUUCUCACAUGAAAGAUUUUAUCAGGUUUUAGACUUAAGCAUGUUGAUCUGUGCCUACAGUGAGUACUUGCAACAGAAUCCCUUUAGGCACAGAUUUAAAGUACAGCACUUUAAGGUCAGGAAGUAGAGCUUUUUCCCAAGGGUAGCCAUGAAAAGGUUAAUUAGAGAGGGAGUGGACUUUCUAAGAGCAAAUUACUUGCAAAUAAAACCAUGGAAUUUUUCAGCUGGGUAAAGCUCCAUGAAUUUUGUGAACAUAUUCUGUACUUAUAUUUAUGUAAAGGUCACAUUAUUGUUGGUUAUAUAUUGUAACAUUAUUGUGAGGCACACCAUACUUGCAGUUUUCCAUCGGAAUCUGGGGUAAAUACAAACUAGAGUGAGAACCUUUAAAGUUACACUCUGUGUGUAUUGUCACAUUUUCAUUGUGAUUUUCUCAUAGUUGUUCCUUGAAAAUUACUAUAUAGUUUAUGGUUCAUUGACAAUAUGUUUGUCAAAUUGUGAGAGUUUAAAUGUUGUUUUCAUCUAAGGGAGGGACAGGGUAAUGGUUCCCUAUUAAAUAUUCAUGGUGCACAAUGGGCAAAAUGAAAGUGGAAUGGCAAUGUAUAGCCUUGAUGAGGGAAAAGGGCAGGUGGCAAAGUGGCUAGAGGAGAUACGCCCCUAGAAUAAGAUGCAAGCAGGCAUGUUCACCAGGAAGCUACAACAAUGGGAGGUGACCAGGAGCCUGACUAAUAAUUAGUAGUAACACCCAUGAUUGGGGAAGGCUGAAAAUCCUGACUACACAAAAUACAUUAAGUUUUUAACAAGGGUUUUUCUCCAGCUAAUCAUUUAUGGCUACUAUAAAGCUGCUACAUUUUUAACUUAAAAACUGAAAUUUGAAGAAAGCUACUGCAUAUCUUAAAAGAUGAUGUGCUUUUUAAAAUAAGAAUAAAUAAAAAGUUUUUGAAUAUAGAAUGUACCAAAUAUAAUCAGAUAUACUACACACUUGAAAUAAGUAUUUUUUCAUUUAGCAUCCAGAGUAAGCAGAUUAAUAGUUUAUGUGAUUGGUUUUAUGUGACUAAUAAAUCAGAAGCCCUACUUAAACAAAAAUAGUAGAUGCCAUGUUACAACAUGAACUUCUCAGACUUGUCUUUGAGUGGUGAAAGUGAUCGUUUUAUGUAACUAAAAUUAUUUUAAUGACUGUAUUUAGUCAUGGUGCAGUUCUUUCCAGUUAGAACAUUUAAACUUUUAAAUGAUUUUUCAAUAGUCAGGCCCAACUAUUAAGGCCAUUUCCUUUCUUUCAUGUUCCUUUAUAAACUAUUUACAUGCAUUUCCCUCUGCACUUAGUUUGUACCCUGGUUUUUCUUCAAUUAAAAUCCAGCACCAAGGACAUUACAUAAAUAAAAUCAAUAAAACUG